GACGAACGCUGGCGGCGUGCUUAACACAUGCAAGUCGAGCGGAAAGGCCCUUCGGGGUACUCGAGCGGCGAACGGGUGAGUAACACGUGAGUAACCUGCCCCAGACUUUGGGAUAACCCUCGGAAACGGGGGCUAAUACCGGAUACGACACAGCUUCGCAUGGGGUCUGUGUGGAAAGUUUUUCGGUUUGGGAUGGGCUCGCGGCCUAUCAGCUUGUUGGUGGGGUGAUGGCCUACCAAGGCGACGACGGGUAGCCGGCCUGAGAGGGCGACCGGCCACACUGGGACUGAGACACGGCCCAGACUCCUACGGGAGGCAGCAGUGGGGAAUAUUGCACAAUGGGCGGAAGCCUGAUGCAGCGACGCCGCGUGCGGGAUGACGGCCUUCGGGUUGUAAACCUCUUUCAGCAGGGACGAAGCGUAAGUGACGGUACCUGCAGAAGAAGCGCCGGCUAACUACGUG
rnacentral:rRNA from 1 species